AAUUGGAGUGAUGAAAUUUUCACCUUAGGUAGAUGCAGCAGACCGUUCUGGUCACUUUACCGUAUCUGCCGAUGCUGGGGUUUGUCAUAGUUACACUGACCACAU
rfam:Tyto alba contig133843, whole genome shotgun sequence.